CGUAGGGUGCAAGCGUUAAUCGGAAUUACUGGGCGUAAAGCGUGCGCAGGCGGUUAUGUAAGACAGAGGUGAAAUCCCCGGGCUCAACCUGGGAACUGCCUUUGUGACUGCAUAGCUAGAGUACGGCAGAGGGGGAUGGAAUUCCGCGUGUAGCAGUGAAAUGCGUAGAUAUGCGGAGGAACACCGAUGGCGAAGGCAAUCCCCUGGGCCUGUACUGACGCUCAUGCACGAAAGCGUGGGGAGCAAACAGGAUUAGAUACCCUGGUAGUCCACGCCCUAAACGAUGUCAACUGGUUGUUGGGUCCUCACUGACUCAGUAACGAAGCUAACGCGUGAAGUUGACCGCCUGGGGAGUACGGCCGCAAGGUUG
rnacentral:rRNA from 1 species